UCAAUAUCAGGAUUUAUUUUUUUCUGCAAUAAUACAAACUGUUACAAUGUGAGAUACAAAUAUGAAAUGGAACAUAAACAGUAUAUAACAUUCCACUAAUAAUGACACUAACGUUUAAAAUGUUCUGGCUAAAGACAGCACUGUCUUUUCACCAAAAUCCAGAGAUAUUAUAGCUGAUUAUAUUAUUAAAGUUUGCUGGUAUUCAGUGUUUUUAC